UACGUAGGGUGCAAGCGUUGUCCGGAAUUACUGGGCGUAAAGCGAGUGUAGGCGGUUCGAUAAGUCGGAUGUGAAAGCCCCGGGCUCAACCCGGGAAGUGCACUCGAUACUGUCGAGCUAGAGUAUCGGAGAGGUUGGUGGAAUUCUCGGUGUAGAGGUGAAAUUCGUAGAUAUCGAGAGGAACACCGGUGGCGAAGGCGGCCAACUGGACGAAUACUGACGCUGAGGAGCGAAAGCGUGGGGAGCGAACAGG
rnacentral:rRNA from 1 species